rnacentral:lncRNA from 1 species
GGACUGAAAUUGAUUAAAUUAAAGUAUAAGAAUUAAAUUGACAACUUUUACAAAGUACAUGGACUAAUAGCAGAUUUUAACCCUAAUUUUCUUUUAAGAACUCCUUCCUACUCUCAUCUCUCUUCCUCUGGAUCUUUGCGCCAAGCGAGCAUCUCACCACGACUCUGAUCAUAUGAGGUAAAUUCGAAGCCCUUAAAUUUGUACUUGAGUAUUAGUUAUUUGUUUUCACAGCUAUUGAAAUUUUAAAAUAAACAUAAACAUAAACAUAGAAAGAAAUUUAAAAUAAACAUAAACAUAGAAAGAAAGUGGAAAGCUUUGUUAUUAACCUCUACUCCCGCUCAAUCAAUAAGCCAGCCAAAGAAAGCUACUGGUAUGUAAGGGAGAAGACAUACACCACUAUGUGUUGCAGCAUUAUAUAUAUUGCCAUGCAUGCAUCUUUUCCACUCACAUUCCACUCCAUUCUCACUCACAUCCCACUCUGCAUUCUAUUCUAC